GUGGGGAAUUUUGCGCAAUGGGGGAAACCCUGACGCAGCAACGCCGCGUGAGUGAUGAAGGCCUUCGGGUCGUAAAGCUCUGUCAGAGGGGAAGAAAUGCAGGGGUGCUAAUAUCAUCUUUGCUUGACGGUACCCUCAAAGGAAGCACCGGCUAACUCCGUGCCAGCAGCCGCGGUAAUACGGAGGGUGCGAGCGUUGUUCGGAAUUAUUGGGCGUAAAGCGCGUGUAGGCGGGUUGGUAAGUCUGAUGUGAAAGCCCCGGGCUCAACCUGGGAAGUGCAUUGGAAACUGUCAGACUUGAAUACGGGAGAGGGUAGUGGAAUUCCUAGUGUAGGAGUGAAAUCCGUAGAUAUUAGGAGGAACACCGGUGACGAAGGCGGCUACCUGGACCGAUAUUGACGCUGAGACGCGAAAGCGUGGGGAGCAAACAGGAUUAGAAACCCCGGUAGUCC
rnacentral:rRNA from 1 species